AAGGUUCUGAAGAUAUCUCUCCUUCCUCCUAUUUUAUUUUAAACUGAGUAGAGAAUGGUGUUUUCUGUUGUCUUCCCUAGGUGCUUGAUUUCUGAAUGAUUUCUGACUCUGGCUUUAAUGAAUGUACACUUACCCGAUGAUGUGAUGUUGGGAAGGCAAAGUUACAGAAGUAGAUGCUGCUUUAGAGCUUCUACCAGAUCGCUGGUUUCGUAGAGAAACCUGAGUGCUCCGAGUAUCUGAGGGCGAGUCUGAAGUGAACUGUAGCGUUUGCUGGAACAUUCACAGAUUAGUGUUCUGUAAAUGAUUAGUGAAGUCUAAUAACUUUGAUUAAUUGACCUGAAAUAAAAUACACAAAAAAUUCCCAACUUUCUGGAUACAUAUGACAGAAAGUAAACUUGCUCCAGAGAACUGAGUUAUCAUCUCUCAACCAUGAAAGGAGUGUGUGUGGACAUAUACCCAAACAUGUACUGCUCCGUAGUUGGAAAGGAAAUUUCUAAGAAAAAUAAACAAAUGACAAUCAUAAAUUCUCCUCUAAAAUAUCCUUAUAAACUCUUUCUCAAAGUCUUAAUUUCAAGUUUUGCUUUUAUUUUUUAUUUUGUUAAUAUUCCUAACAGUCUAACUUUGAAACCCUAUCUAAAGGUUAAGAAUUUACUAGCUAGAUUUUCAAAAAUAAAGAAAAGAUUAAAAGACACCAUUGUGUUUAAGUCUAUUUUUGUUUAACCUUGAUAUAACACAAUUGUCAACUAGAUAUGUAAGAAAAAACACAUCAAAGUAUUCUGAAGAUACUUUUUCAUGUUGAUUCAUCUGAGGAUUCUUCCAUAUUUAUAUAGUUAUUUGUCAAAUUAAAUAAAUGUUAACCAUUUAAAUAAUUUAAAUACUACAUUACUCUUUCAAAAUUAGACACAUUCAAAAUAUUAAUUUCUUUCUCUUGCUCCUUUUAUAAACACUCACAGUGAUGAUAACAAAGUGUCAACAGGAGAUGGACUGGAAAACAAUGGGGUCAGAGGCACAGCAUGUGCAAGAGACUGGGUGUUGCCCUGUGUGGGAAGAUAAGACAUGCACCCAGCCUCAAGACCCUCAGGAUUCGGUCAGUGAUGGGAAGUGUUGGAUGUCAGUCCUUGGGGCUGCUAGAGAAUGUGAUGUUCUUCUCAAAGACUCACACAUGAUAGUUGUAUCUUUUCUCUUGCUUUCUUCUAGAUGUCAGUCCUUGGGGCUGCUAGAGAAUGUGAUGUUCUUCUCAAAGACUCACACAUGAUAGUUGUAUCUUUUCUCUUGCUUUCUUCUAUAGUUUCUUAAGUAGAAACAAAAAAACAGACAUAUGGUCUCCAUACAAAAACAUUAAGUAAUGAAGGCUCACAAGUAUGACAAUCCCAGGUAAGUUGGUGGUGUGAAGUAAGACCACCACUCCGUGCAAUCAAGAAAUGCCUAUAAGUUGAAGAUUGUCUUCCAGGUCCAUUUCUGUCUUUCUUUCUGACUAUGGGUUUCAGUUGUCACAGAACAAACAACACUUCUUCAUGCAAACCUUGCCAAUAAUGUUCAGUUAUUAUUUUUAUAGACAGUCUAGAUUAUUCUUAAGAAUCACUUCCUACAGGGUCAUCAUACAGACACAACUUUGACUCACUCAGUAAAGCCUCAAUGAAGACUCAUUACUUUCAUCUCUCUUCAUGCUCUGCCAAGUAAGGGCUGUUCAGAGUCAAAGACCACUCAAUCUAAAUAAUAAAACAAAAAUUAAAAUUUUAAAUAUCUUUUCAGAACAACUAAUAUAAUGAGAGACUAAAAAAAAUUCCAAAAUUUGAAUAGUAUAAGCAGUAAUAUGUUCACAGUGAGUUUACUCCAAAAGAUUACAUGGUAUCAGUACAUACAUAAACUAAACCAUUUAUGCUCACAAGUCCAGCUACCCAAAAGGUGACGACAAAGGAUGCAUGUGUUCAAGUCCAACCUCAGCUAUGUAUAAAGGCUCUGCUUCCAUAUAAAAAAAUAUAAUUGAAAAGGAACAAAAGUCUUAAAGUAUUUACUAUGAACUAAUAAAUAAAAAUAGUGACAUAAAAGUACAUGGAGAUUUUAGCAGAUACAUCUAAGAAGUAAUACAUACACAUACCUAUACAUCCACUAACUUUAAAGAAGCAUGGGAAUACAUUAUCCAAGAAAUGACACUAAAAUUUUCUCAGCAGUGUUAAGGAUAUAAGAAUUUAGCUUGAUGAACAUUCAGAAAGCAGAGAAAAACAGUUCUUUAAUUUGAAAUCAAUAUUCCUUUCAUUUAUGUACCAGGGUGUGUGGGGGAGACAUACAAGGAAGGUUGUUAAGUUAACAUUAUUUUUAAAUAUUAUAUUUUACUAUGUGUAUGUGUGAACACGUGUGCACAUGUAUGGCAGGAACAUUUGGAAGAACUUACUUUUGCAUCUAUCAUUUUGGUGCUGGGAAUCAAGUCCAGGAAGGCAGGGAUGGCAGCCUUUGCUAGCCUCACCAUCUUUCUUGCCCUGUAAUUCACUUUUUAUAUUUAUUUUUAUCUCUAUAUUUACUGUUAUUUAUUUAUAGUGUAAGUAUAUAUUUGUAAGCCAACAUGCAUGAUGUAGUACAUGUAUGGAGGUCAGAGAAUAACUUAAUAGAUUCUGCUUUCUCCUCCCUUCCUGGGAGUUCUGGGAAUCAAAUUCAGGUCACUAGGCGUGGAAGUGAAUGCCUUUUGCAAUUGAUCUAUCUCACUCGCCCAGGAAAGUAUUAUAGACAUAAAAUAUUGAAUAUCUUUCACCACAAUGGGGCAUAGCACAAUGGUAAAGCAUUUCACUAUCAUCAUAGAGAGAUUUUGAUUCUAGAAGCACACACACACAAGAGAAAAUGUCUUCAUACACCAGUUCAAAAAUUUUAGACAUUAUCAGUAAAAUAUGUGUCU
rnacentral:lncRNA from 1 species